UGCCAGCAGCCGCGGUAAUACGGAGGGUCCAAGCGUUAUCCGGAUUUAUUGGGUUUAAAGGGCGCGCAGGCGGUCUUGUCCGUCAGGUGUGAAAGCUCGGGGCUCAACCCCGGAAGUGCACUUGAAACAGCAAGACUUGAAUACGGUAGAGGAGAGAGGAAUUCCUGGUGUAGAGGUGAAAUUCGUAGAUAUCAGGAGGAACACCGAUGGCGAAGGCAUCUCUCUGGGUCGAUAUUGACGCUGAGGCGCGAAGGCGUGGGUAGCAAACAGGAUUAGAUA
rnacentral:rRNA from 1 species